GAUGAACGCUAGCGACAGCCUAACACAUGCAAGUCGGAGGGGCGAGCACAUGAGUAGCAAUACGAUGGUGGCGACCGGCGCGACGGUGAGUAACACGUAUGCACCUGCCUUCUACUAUGGGAUAACCCGUUGAAAGACGGACUAAUACCGUAUAAUACAGGGGCUCCGCAUGGAGAUAUUUGUUAAAGAUUUAUUGGUAGAAGAUGGGCAUGCGUAUGAUUAGAUAGUUGGUGAGGUAACGGCUCACCAAGUCAACGAUCAUUAGGGGUUCUGAGAGGUAAGGUCCCCCACACUGGUACUGAGACACGGACCAGACUCCUACGGGAGGCAGCAGUGAGGAAUAUUGGUCAAUGGACGAGAGUCUGAACCAGCCAAGUCGCGUGAAGGAAGACGGUUCUAUGAAUUGUAAACUUCUUUUGUGCAGGAAUAAAGUGGGUUACGUGUAACCUUUUGUAUGUACUGUACGAAUAAGGAUCGGCUAACUCCGUG
rnacentral:rRNA from 1 species